AUUGAACGCUGGCGGCAUGCUUUACACAUGCAAGUCGAACGGUAACAGGUUAAGCUGACGAGUGGCGAACGGGUGAGUAAUGCAUCGGAACGUGCCCGGUCGUGGGGGAUAACGCAGCGAAAGCUGCGCUAAUACCGCAUACGAUCUGAGGAUGAAAGCGGGGGACCGUAAGGCCUCGCGCGAUCGGAGCGGCCGAUGUCAGAUUAGGUAGUUGGUGGGGUAAAGGCUCACCAAGCCAACGAUCUGUAGCUGGUCUGAGAGGACGACCAGCCACACUGGGACUGAGACACGGCCCAGACUCCUACGGGAGGCAGCAGUGGGGAAUUUUGGACAAUGGGCGAAAGCCUGAUCCGGCAAUGCCGCGUGCAGGAAGAAGGUCUUCGGGUUGUAAACUGCUUUUGUACGGAGCGAAAAGGUCUCCUCUAAUACAGGGGGCUCAUGACGGUACCGUAAGAAUAAGCACCGGCUAACUACGUGCCAGCAGCCGCAGUAA
rnacentral:rRNA from 1 species